rnacentral:rRNA from 1 species
AUGAGUGGUUCCACUGUCAUGUACGUCAACAUGGUUGGAGAUUUGGGAUCGGAUGCUGCGCCAAGAGCGAGGGACCAAGGUGCUGAACUAACAGCAGGGGGGAGGGUGAUUCUUCAGCUAACUGCCAAGAAUCAUAUAAGGAUGCAUCUAAUGAGGGAGCUGCACAAAUUUGGAACAACUUCCAGAACAGGCAUCCAAGCAUUUUGGUCUGCUACCAGUAAGCUGCCAGAGCAAGAUAGCUGGGAGUCUGGGAUGUCGAGUCGUCGAGCCGUCCAAUGCCAAGUUUGCCGGCGGAAGGAGAACAUCUGUCAAGCCGUCCGUCGCCUGAGGCGGCUACACCAGAGGUCCGUGGGUUACUACUCCUUUGCUCUUGCUGGUGACCGGCCUCCAGAGUAG